GAGUUUGAAUCAUGGCUCAGGAUGAACGCUAGCUACAGGCUUAACACAUGCAAGUCGAGGGGCAGCAUGUUGGUUGCUUGCAACCAAUGAUGGCGACCGGCGCACGGGUGAGUAACGCGUAUCCAACCUACCCUUGUCCAUCGGAUAACCCGUCGAAAGGCGGCCUAACACGAUAUGCGGUUCACAGCAGGCAUCUAAGGUGAACGAAAUGUGAAGGAGAAGGAUGGGGAUGCGUCUGAUUAGCUUGUUGGCGGGGUAACGGCCACAAGGCGACGAUCAGUAGGGGUUCUGAGAGGAAGGUCCCCCANAUUGGAACUGAGACACGGUCCAAACUCCUACGGAGGCA
rnacentral:rRNA from 1 species